UACAUGCCAAGUAGGACGCACAGUUUAUACCGUAGCUUGCUACACCAUAGACUGUGAGUUGCGAACGGGUGAGUAACGCGUAGGUAACCUGCCUAUUAGAGGGGGAUAACUAUUGGAAACGAUAGCUAAUACCGCAUAACAGUAUGUAACACAUGUUAGAUGCUUGAAAGAUGCAAUUGCAUCGCUAGUAGAUGGACCUGCGUUGUAUUAGCUAGUAGGUAGGGUAAAGGCCUACCUAGGCAACGAUACAUAGCCGACCUGAGAGGGUGAUCGGCCACACUGGGACUGAGACACGGCCCAGACUCCUACGGGAGGCAGCAGUAGGGAAUCUUCGGCAAUGGGGGGAACCCUGACCGAGCAACGCCGCGUGAGUGAAGAAGGUUUUCGGAUCGUAAAGCUCUGUUGUUAAGGAAGAACGAGUGUGAGAAUGGAAAGUUCAUACUGUGACGGUACUUAACCAGAAAGGGACGGCUAACUACGUGCCAGCAGCCGCGGUAAUACGUAGGUCCCGAGCGUUGUCCGGAUUUAUUGGGCGUAAAGCGAGCGCAGGCGGUUAGAAAAGUCUGAAGUGAAAGGCAGUGGCUCAACCAUUGUAGGCUUUGGAAACUGUUUAACUUGAGUGCAGAAGGGGAGAGUGGAAUUCCAUGUGUAGCGGUGAAAUGCGUAGAUAUAUGGAGGAACACCGGUGGCGAAAGCGGCUCUCUGGUCUGUAACUGACGCUGAGGCUCGAAAGCGUGGGGAGCGAACAGGAUUAGAUACCCUGGUAGUCCACGCCGUAAACGAUGAGUGCUAGGUGUUAGGUCCUUUCCGGGACUUAGUGCCG
rnacentral:rRNA from 1 species